GACCCUGAGCGUGUGCUAUAUUAGCACCGUGGUGUGCUAAACAGUGAUUCAGCACGCUACAUGUGCUGUUUCGUAGGCAUAUAGCACAGCCUAUGUGUUUGUAUUGGUGUGCUUUUUCAUAGCUUGUAAUUUUGAUGUUCGAUUACAUGUGCUAAAUGGACUGUGCUAAAUGUAAUGGGUGUGCUGAAACAGGUACACAUGCUAAUUCAGCACAGCGUGCUGUUUUCAGUACCAAAUAAGGGCAUGCAGUACAACAGAUGUGCAGCUGCAGCUGCAUAGCAACAAAGAUUUUUUAAAUUUGCUGUUCUUACAAAGAAAAAAAGAAGUUGAGUUUAGACAUGGUUUAAGAGCUGUUUGACAAAACUGUGGAACUAGGAAGGACAAGCAAGUAAAAGGUUGAAUGGGGCUCAAACAAAGUGGAAACCAAUUGAAGCCUAUUGCCCAAGUUUCAUAGCACAAUAAAAUGAUGUUGAAAGUGACACGUGUUGGAGAGAGCAUUAUACUGAACACCCUUGUAUGACCAGACCACUGUAAAGUAUCGACACAAUUGGAGGUAUGUAUUAUUAUUAUGCUGCUGUAUUGCCACAAUGUUUUAGGUAUAGUGGCUUUGCCCAAAAAGCAACACUGACUUAAAGCCCCUCUAAAGUAUAGCUAUCUGCCUAUAAUUAUACGUAUAUAGCGGUUAAUAAUUAUAAUAAAUGAUCCCAUUCUGUGCACGUAGUACGUUUAAAGCGUUUCCGUUUUAAUAGUGCGUAUUUUACUGUACCGUUGCUAUUACCAUUGCAAAUUACAAAUGCGGUGUGCUGUGUUUUUGAAUGCAUAGCGACAAUCCUCUAGUAACGGUUAUACCAAGCUAAAUUAUGCUUAGCUAUAAGCCUAUAGUUUUACAUAGAUCUAACAAAGAAUAGAACGCACCAUUGACUGCACUAUAAUCUUAGCAUAACUGCUAUAUAGCUAACUUACAUGUAGCAAAGCUAGCAAGCUGCAAAAUGUCGUGAUAACCAUAGCUGCAUGGGUGGCCAAAGUAAAAUGUAACAACAGAAAAAAGCUCUUAUCUUGAGCGUCCUUUUUAGCGUUUAAUUUGCGCUCUAUCAGUGUAUGUACUCUAUCAGUGUAUGUAACGGGGACUUUAUAUUUACCACUUUGUAAGUGUUAAAAGUUGCUGCUACGGAAAUCCCAAUAUCCUUACGCGCAAACGAUUUUCGAUUGCCACACACCCUCCUAAUUAAUGCAAAUCUAUACUGCCACCUGUAGCAUAUUGUCUGCCGGCCUUGCAGCUGUAUAGCUGUUCUUCUUAAGCUAACAAUUCUAUCAAUAUAUUUAUAUAGGACAACGCAACUUUCGUGUUAAGCUUUGGAUUAUAUUUGUUGUUUAACCCUUACAAUGAGUAAACCCUUACAAUGAGUAUUGUCGGAAGACAACUUCUCAAUCUGCUCUCUAUAUGCUCUCUAUAGGAGAUAAUUGAUGGGCCCGAAUAUUGAUGCUGCUCUAUAAUAGCACAACAAGAACUCAUUUGCAUUAUCAUAGUCUCGCAAACUUAAUUGUGCGUAAAAACGACUUACUAAGAGUUCAUUAGGAAGAGUACGCAACUCCACUAAGCAGUAGUAAGCAUUCUGUCUAACCUACGUCUAACCUACGUCACAAUCACAUGCUGUUGUAUAAACUGUAAAUCUUAGCGAUGAUGGAUGAAUACGUUAGUGAGGUUACCACUAAUUUUAUUCAUUGCUUUUCCUUAUCAGCAUUGUUAUUGUUAUUGUUGUAUCUCAAGUUACAUGCAAUAGUGAGUUUGCCUCCUGUGUACAGUCUAUUUGAGUUAUUUGAGUGUCGUACUCUUCCUCUUGUUCUUAUUGUGUUAUAGGACUCUUUCUGUAGCUACAAUUCUUUGCUUUUGGUUCAUGUACUUUUUCAUGCACUCGGCAUUUGUCAUAGAUCACAGCAAAGGCUUUUCUUAUUUCGCCCUAUAAUAAUUUUAAGUUUCAUUAGCAUACUUUGUUCAUGCAUGCUAUGACUGA